CGGCCAUGGCCCGGGAUUAGUUUGAUCCUGGCUCAGAAUGAACGCUGGCGGCGUGCCUAACACAUGCAAGUCGGAUGUGCCGCAAGGUGCAUGGCAGACGGGUGAGUAACGCGUGGGGAACCUACCUCUUUGUGGGGAAUAACGUUCCGAAAGGAAUGGUAAUACCGCAUGAGGCCGUUGGCUGGGAUGCUGACGGUGAAACCCGGGGACCGCAAGGCCUGGGGCAAGGAGAGGGUCCUGCGUCUGAUUAGCUAGUUGGUGGGGUAACGGCCUACCAAGGCGUCGAUCAGUAGCCGGCCUGAGAGGGUGAUCGGCCACACUGGAACUGAGACACGGUCCAGACUCCUACGGGAGGCAGCAGUGGGGAAUUUUGCGCAAUGGGCGAAAGCCUGACGCAGCAACGCCGCGUGGGUGAUGAAGGUCUUCGGAUCGUAAAACCCUGUCGUCAGGGACGAAGGUUGUAUGCCUAACAGGUGUGCAGCUUGACGGUACCUGGAGAGGAAGCCCCGGCUAACUCUGUGCCAGCAGCCGCGGUAAUACAGAGGGGGCAAGCGUUAUUCGGAAUUAUUGGGCGUAAAGGGCGCGUAGGCGGUGUCUUAAGUGAGAUGUGUAAUCCCCGAGCUUAACUUGGGAACUGCAUCUCAGACUGGGGCGCUAGAGUACUGGAGAGGGUGGUAGAAUUCCACGUGUAGCGGUGAAAUGCGUAGAGAUGUGGAGGAAUACCAGUGGCGAAGGCGGCCACCUGGACAGUAACUGACGCUGAGGCGCGAAAGUGUGGGGGGCAAACAGGAUUAGAUACCCUGGUAGUCC
rnacentral:rRNA from 1 species